GGGGAUGUAAUGGUUUCGACGGGGAUGGAUGACGUUCGAUAAGCGAGCGGCGGGCUCCUCGAACCGCCUUAGCAAGGGGAAAACUUAAUCAUAACUGCGAACGAAGAGUACGCACUGGCGGCUUAACGCCACGUCGCCCGACUGAUUCCGCCCGUCAGGUCGGUCGCGACGCCAACAACGGGCUCACCGCGCUUGAGAGCACUGCAGGGCGCGGGAACUUCCAAAGUGCUGGGUCGUGCGAAGGUUGUCAUUGAACUUCGUCCGGCUGAGAUCGAUCAAUGACUGCGCUCGGAGAAAGUCUUGCGGCAACAUUUUCGGACAGGAGUUCGAUUCUCCUCAUCUCCACCA
rnacentral:tmRNA from 1 species